rnacentral:rRNA from 1 species
UACAGAGGUCUCAAGCGUUGUUCGGAUUCAUUGGGCGUAAAGGGUGCGUAGGCUGUGGGGUAAGUCUGGUGUGAAAUCCCGGAGCUCAACUCCGGAACUGCACUGGAUACUGCUUUACUAGAGCACUGGAGAGGGAACUGGAAUUUACGGUGUAGCAGUGAAAUGCGUAGAUAUCGUAAGGAAGACCAGUGGCGAAGGCAGGUCUCUGGGCCACUACUGACGCUGAGAAGCGAAAGCAUGGGGAGCGAACAGG